UACGUAGGGUGCGAGCGUUAAUCGGAAUUACUGGGCGUAAAGCGUGCGCAGGCGGUUUUGUAAGCCAGAUGUGAAAUCCCCGGGCUUAACCUGGGAAUGGCAUUUGGGACUGCAAGGCUGGAGUGCGGCAGAGGAGACUGGAAUUCCUGGUGUAGCAGUGAAAUGCGCAGAUAUCAGGAGGAACACCGGUGGCGAAGGCGGGUCUCUGGGCCGAUACUGACGCUGAGGAGCGAAAGCGUGGGGAGCGAACAGG
rnacentral:rRNA from 1 species